rnacentral:rRNA from 1 species
AUCUUGAGUGCAGUUGAGGCAGGCGGAAUUCGUGGUGUAGCGGUGAAAUGCUUAGAUAUCACGAAGAACUCCGAUUGCGAAGGCAGCCUGCUAAGCUGCAACUGACAUUGAGGCUCGAAAGUGUGGGUAUCAAACAGGAUUAGAUACCCUGGUAGUCCACACGGUAAACGAUGAAUACUCGCUGUUUGCGAUAUACGGCAAGCGGCCAAGCGAAAGCGUUAAGUAUUCCACCUGGGGAGUACGCCGGCAACGGUGAAACUCAAAGGAAUUGACGGGGGCCCGCACAAGCGGAGGAACAUGUGGUUUAAUUCGAUGAUACGCGAGGAACCUUACCCGGGCUUAAAUUGCAGAUGAAUUACGGUGAAAGCCGUAAGCCGCAAGGCAUCUGUGAAGGUGCUGCAUGGUUGUCGUCAGCUCGUGCCGUGAGGUGUCGGCUUAAGUGCCAUAACGAGCGCAACCCUUGUUGUCAGUUACUAACAGGUUUUGCUGAGGACCCUGACAAGACUGCCAUCGUAAGAUGUGAGGAAGGUGGGGAUGACGUCAAAUCAGCACGGCCCUUACGUCCGGGGCUACACACGUGUUACAAUGGGGGGUACAGAGGGCCGCUACCACGCGAGUGGAUGCCAAUCCCCAAAACCUCUCUCAGUUCGGACUGGAGUUUGCAACCCGACUCCACGAAGCUGGAUUCGCUAGUAAUCGCGCAUCAGCCACGGCGCGGUGAAUACGUUCCCGGGCCUUGUACACACCGCCCGUCAAGCCAUGGGAGCCGGGGGUACCUGAAGUGCGUAACCGCGAGGAGCGCCCUAGGGUAAAACUGGUGAC